AACGAACGCUGGCGGCAGGCUUAACACAUGCAAGUCGAGGGGAAACGAUAGAGAAAGCUUGCUUUUUCUAGGCGUCGACCGGCGCACGGGUGAGUAACGCGUAUCCAACCUGCCCAUCACUUGGGGAUAACCUUGCGAAAGUAAGACUAAUACCCAAUGAUAUCUCUAGAAGACAUCUGAAGGAGAUUAAAGAUUUAUCGGUGAUGGAUGGGGAUGCGUCUGAUUAGCUUGUUGGCGGGGUAACGGCCCACCAAGGCGACGAUCAGUAGGGGUUCUGAGAGGAAGGUCCCCCACAUUGGAACUGAGACACGGUCCAAACUCCUACGGGAGGCAGCAGUGAGGAAUAUUGGUCAAUGGGCGAGAGCCUGAACCAGCCAAGUAGCGUGCAGGAUGACGGCCCUAUGGGUUGUAAACUGCUUUUAUAAGGGAAUAAAGUGAGUCUCGUGAGGCUUUUUGCAUGUACCUUAUGAAUAAGGACCGGCUAAUUCCGUGCCAGCCGCCGCGGUAAUAC
rnacentral:rRNA from 1 species